AACGAACGCUGGCGGCAGGCUUAACACAUGCAAGUCGAACGCGUGUAGCAAUACACGAGUGGCGCACGGGUGAGUAACGCGUGGAUAUCUGCCUUUUGGUUCGGAAUAACUCCGGGAAACUGGAGCUAAUACCGGAUGGUUCCUACGGGAUAAAGAUUUAUCGCCAAAAGAUGAGUCCGCGUACGAUUAGCUAGUUGGUGAGGUAAUGGCUCACCAAGGCGACGAUCGUUAGCUGGUCUGAGAGGACGAUCAGCCACACUGGGACUGAGACACGGCCCAGACUCCUACGGGAGGCAGCAGUGGGGAAUAUUGGACAAUGGGGGCAACCCUGAUCCAGCCAUGCCGCGUGAGUGAUGAAGGCCUUCGGGUUGUAAGCUCUUUUGGCGGGGACGAUGAUGACGGUACCCGCAGAAUAAGCCCCGGCUAACUUCGUGCCAGCAGCCGCGGUAAU
rnacentral:rRNA from 1 species